CGGAGGGGCUAGCGUUGUUCGGAAUUACUGGGCGUAAAGCGUACGUAGGCGGCUUUGUAAGUUAGAGGUGAAAGCCCGGGGCUCAACUCCGGAACUGCCUCUAAGACUGCAUCGCUAGAACGUCGGAGAGGUGAGUGGAAUUCCGAGUGUGGAGGUGAAAUUCGUAGAUAUUCGGAAGAACACCAGUGGCGAAGGCGACUCACUGGACGACUGUUGACGCUGAGGUACGAAAGCGUGGGGAGCAAACAGGAUU
rnacentral:rRNA from 1 species